rnacentral:rRNA from 1 species
AACGAACGCUGGCGGCGUGCCUAACACAUGCAAGUCGAGCGAGGGAAACUCUUCGGAGUGGAACUAGCGGCGGACGGGUGAGUAACACGUGGGCAACCUGCCUCGUAGAGGGGAAUAGCCUUUCGAAAGGAAGAUUAAUACCCCAUAAGAUUGUAGUUCCGCAUGGAAUAGCAAUUAAAGGAGUAAUCCGCUACGAGAUGGGCCCGCGUCGCAUUAGCUAGUUGGUAAGGUAAUGGCUUACCAAGGCGACGAUGCGUAGCCGACCUGAGGGGGUGAUCGGCCCCAUUGGGACUGAGACACGGCCCAGACUCCUACGGGAGGCAGCAGUGGGGAAUAUUGCACAAUGGGGGAAACCCUGAUGCAGCAACGCCGCGUGAGUGAUGACGGUCUUCGGAUCGUAAAGCUCUGUCUUCAGGGACGAUAAUGACGGUACCUGAGGAGGAAGCCACGGCUAACUACGUGCCAGCCGCCGCCGUAAGAC